ensembl:lncRNA
AAUGAAUUCCUAAAACACUCUCAAUGCUGGAGAGCGUUUGUGAUGCUGAAGCAGUGAUCAGUUUUUCUGUUUCUUCUCUGGAGAUGCACAAUGAGGGACGUCUGCAGCGACUGAGAAAGAGUCUCACCACAUCCUGACAUGAGGAAAAAGACUUUAUUGAAGACUACAAUGAGAAAAACUAUCAGACAGCAGACGGCUGCAUUCAAGUCUGUAGCUGCUGAAUUCAUGGAUGAAUCAUCUGGCACUAGAGAAGAAGACCAUCAAACAUCCACGUCAGCUGAUGGAGGUCCAAGAGUCUCACCAAACAACCAACCUACAGAGUGAAGACCUCCAAUCUGAUUGGACGGCCUCCUAUUCAGCCACAUUUUAGGCUGUUAGAUUGUUCCAGAUAAGACAAGUACAAGAUUCUUCAGAGCCGUUCUACCACGAGCCUGACAGGAAGAACUCCAACAGCUACUGAAUGUUCCUGUGGUCCCCUCAAGGCUACAGGAGGAGUCCUACGAGGACGAGCCGGUCCACCUGAUGGUGGCCAGUCGCUGCGGUUUAAAGCCAACACCGACUAUGUGGACUUCUACUGGACCACACGGAGGCCUUCAAACCGGACCAACAAGUUCACCGACUCCCCGACUCGUGGGUCUGAGGACGCUGCCGAGCCUCGGCCCAGCCGGCCUCCUGUCUGUGGGUGUUUGAGUGCUGAGAGGUUUGUGGAUGCAUGUGAACGUUCUGUGUUGAAACAGCAGCUUUGGACUCAGUAACGCCGGGAAAAACCAAGAGCUCCUUUAUUUGUCACUUCCACUAAAACUGAUGAAAAUAAGUUUGCCAGGGUUCUGACUGAUGACAGAUUAUUAAAUAAUGAAAAUAAUCGUUUAAAUAUUCCUUUAAACAAUCCUUUUAGG